rnacentral:rRNA from 1 species
AUGGUUGUCGUCAGCUCGUGUCGUGAGAUGUUGGGUUAAGUCCCACAACGAGCGCAACCCUCGACCUUAGUUGCCAGCAUUCAGUUGGGCACUCUAAGGUGACUGCCGGCUAAAAGUCGGAGGAAGGUGGGGAUGACGUCAAAUCAUCAUGCCCCUUAUGACCUGGGCUACACACGUGCUACAAUGGGCGGUACAAAGGGUCGCGAACCCGCGAGGGGGAGCCAAUCCCAAAAAGCCGCUCUCAGUUCGGAUUGCAGGCUGCAACUCGCCUGCAUGAAGCCGGAAUCGCUAGUAAUCGCGGAUCAGCAUGCCGCGGUGAAUACGUUCCCGGGCCUU